rnacentral:rRNA from 1 species
CAGUCGCCACGGUAAAACGUAGGUGGCAAGCGUUGUCCGGAAUUAUUGGGCGUAAAGCGCGCGCAGGCGGCCUAUCCAGUCUGUCUUAAAAGUUCGGGGCUCAACCCCGUGAUGGGAUGGAAACUAGUAGGCUAGAGUAUCGGAGAGGAAAGCGGAAUUCCUAGUGUAGCGGUGAAAUGCGUUGGGAUCGGAAAGAACACCAACGGCGAAAGCACUCUGCUGGGCCGACACUGACACUGAGAGACGAAAGCUAGGGGAGCAAAUGGGAUUAGAUACCCCUGUAGUCCCUGUCUCUUAUACA